UUGACCUCGGAUCAGGUAGGAAUACCCGCUGAACUUAAGCAUAUCAGG
rnacentral:rRNA from 2 species